CGUGAGCAAUCUGCCUUGGAGUGGGGAAUAACGGCUGGAAACAGCCGCUAAUACCGCAUGAUACAGCUGGGCCGCAUGGCUCUGGCUGUCAAAGAUUUAUCGCUCUGAGAUGAGCUCGCGUCUGAUUAGCUAGUUGGCGGGGUAAAGGCCCACCAAGGCGACGAUCAGUAGCCGGACUGAGAGGGCGACCGGCCACAUUGGGACUGAGACACGGCCCAAACUCCUACGGGAGGCAGCAG
rnacentral:rRNA from 1 species